UACGUGGGGAGCAAGCGUUGUUCGGAUUUACUGGGCGUAAAGGGCGCGUAGGCGGCCACCGCAAGUCGACUGUGAAAUCUCCGGGCUUAACUCGGAAAGGUCAGCCGAUACUGCGGGGCUAGAGUGCAGAAGGGGCAACUGGAAUUCUCGGUGUAGCGGUGAAAUGCGUAGAUAUCAGGAAGAACACCCGUGGCGAAGGCGGCUCUCUGGGACGGUACUGACGCUGAGACGCGAAAGCGUGGGGAGCGAACAGG
rnacentral:rRNA from 1 species